GUUUGAUCAUGGCUCAGGACGAACGCUGGCGGCGUGCCUAAUACAUGCAAGUCGAGCGGAAUGAUGAAGAAGCUUGCUUCUUCUGAUUUUAGCGGCGGACGGGUGAGUAACACGUGGGCAACCUACCUUGUAGAUUGGGAUAACUCCGGGAAACCGGGGCUAAUACCAAAUAAUCCAUUUUGCUUCAUGGCGAAAUGUUGAAAGGCGGCUUCGGCUGUCACUACGAAAUGGGCCCGCGGCGCAUUAGCUAGUUGGUAGGGUAACGGCCUACCAAGGCGACGAUGCGUAGCCGACCUGAGAGGGUGAUCGGCCACACUGGGACUGAGACACGGCCCAGACUCCUACGGGAGGCAGCAGUAGGGAAUCUUCCACAAUGGACGAAAGUCUGAUGGAGCAACGCCGCGUGAGUGAAGAAGGUUUUCGGAUCGUAAAACUCUGUUGUAAGGGAAGAACACGUACGAGAGUAACUGCUCGUACCUUGACGGUACCUUAUUAGAAAGCCACGGCUAACUACGUGCCAGCAGCCGCGGUAAUACGUAGUGGCAAGCGUUGUCCGGAAUUAUUGGGCGUUAAACGCGCGCAGGCGGUCCUUUUAAGUCUGAUGU
rnacentral:rRNA from 1 species